GUUAGCCUAAAAAACAAGCGUGAGAGAGGACAUGGGGUUAGAGCAAAAGCAACCCUGUACUUGACCCUCCGGCUCUCAUUUGAAACCAGCUCCACCUGCGUCUGGAUUUCUCUCUCCUUAUAGUGGUUUUGCUAAAUAUUGGUGCUGAUAGCCUCCCUUGCCUUCUCUAAUACAUCAUCUCCUUUUUUAUCCCAGUUUUCUGAGGAUCUCUCCAAGCUAAAGUCUGCGUCCGUUACUGAGAAAGUUUCUUUUUAGUACCAACAAUAUUGCAACAACAGUAUUAGAGACUGAAAUUGAGAAACUUCUCAUUGAUACAGUGAUAAGGGAAUGGAUGUUUCAAGUGGAGAAGCUUGCAGUUUGUUAGGAAAUGGACCGGACGUCAUGCCGAAGGAUCGGGCAAGGUGCAGCCAGAGAUGUGAAAACAAGGGCUCCAAGGCGAUACAUGACUUUACCAUGUUUGUAUGGCUAAGAAGUGACAGAGCUGGGAUUCAAACUCUGCUUGACUAAUCUAAUGCUGUGGUUCACACUUGUCUACUUGGGCAGUGAAGGACCUUGCAAAAUUGUCUAAUUAGUAAAUGACAGAACCAGGAGUCAAACUCUGGGGAAAGACCUUGGCUGCUGCCAGGAUGCUGGCUAGGAAGCAUAUAGACUGGAUGUGUCAAGGUCAGAGUGAAGACUACCAUUGGGUCCAAGUGUGUAUGUCAGGCCCUCAGGCCUCUCCAGCCACCACCACCCUGACCCAGGUCCAGCCAUCAAUCUGACUAGAUGAAUGAAGAGUUCCAAGCUGACCAGAUCCUGGAAAGCUGGAUGAAGAGCCCAGACUCUGAGAGGCAGCCAGUCAGCCAGCAUCUGCAAAUAGUGGGCCAGUCCAUUGCUUAGUGACCACCUCAGUGCCAUCUACUCUCCCACAAAGUGAAGAACAGGAUCAUUCAGCCUCCCAGGGUUCACACCUGCAGGGGAGAGAUGGGCUGUAACAGAUAACGCCACGUGAUAAGUACGGUAAGAGAGGUAUGGUCAAAGCCCUGAAGGAGUCUCACAUGCCUUUUCUGGAAAAGGGAAGUAAAAUCCCAGGUAAGCUUAUUGGGGGCAUCGAAUGGGAACGUGCCGGCUUGCACUCUGUCCUCUAGAGGGAGCGCAUGCUCUUUCUCUGAGAUCUGAGAAGCCUUCUUUCUAAUCAGGGGAUCUCUUCAAUAGAGCUGGGUUAAGAUAAAUGCUCAGGUGCCUUUUGGUCUUUUUAGAUAUUCCCUGUUGAAUUGCUUCCCACCUAGCUCCUCUUCACAGCUGGUACCAUAGGGGGAGGCUGAGUCCUCCUCCCACUCGAAAACUUUGCUUCCUUCAACUGGAAGACAAAGCCAGAACCAGAGUGAAGUCUCCCCAGGCAAAAGAAUGACUCAUCUGGGCACAAUUCCUAUUUCAUAGCACAAUCUACGAAGACAGAUGACAUCAGGAUUUGGGGAUAAUUUUCCCAUAAUAGUCACUUGUGCACAGACUCUAAGGGGGUGGCCUUUGCCAAGGUAUUGAAAGGAGGGGUCAAGACAGGGUUCAGAAAUUUGGGACCCAGACAUAUUUAUCACUCACCACAACUAACAGAUAAAUUUAGAUAUUUCCAUUUUAUUUUUUAUUAAUGUUUUCUUUGUCAUUUCAUGACUACAUGAUUUGUUGAUUCAGGGUUCUCUUGAGAAUUUGGCAAAAACCCAAUUCAGAAAUUUUCUGGAAUUUAUUUAUUGCAACAACUAUAUUUCAUAGGAAUAUAUAUCUCUAUUUCCUCGAUUGAUUCCCUUCUUUUCAUCAUGUAUAUUUUUAUAAUCUAUCAAUGUUUCCAUAUGCAUACUCUUACAUAAGGAAGCCUAAAAUAGUCUCUGAUUGUCUCACAUGGAAAAUUAAGAUAGAGUCUCUCAGUUUGUAUGAUAUCCAAAAGAAGAGAGAUAUGGACAAUUUUUUUCACUUAAUUUUAAUUUUGUUUAUUUAAUGUAUACCACUUGAUGAGUUAGAGAUAAAUAUGCACUCAGGAAACCAACAGGGUAUAUACCAGAUACAUCUAUCACCUCCAAAAGUUUCCUCUCACCCUCUUUAAUUAUUAUUAUUUUUACUAUGUGAUAACAUUUAACGUAAGAUCUUAGCAAAGGUUUAACCGAAGAUUUAACACAAGAUCCUAUCAAGUUUUAAAGUGUACAAGUGCUAUAGGCUUCUUUUUAGCUGAAACUUUACCAUUUGGUUAAUAGUUUUCAGUUUCCCUCUCCCCCAGCCCCCAGAUGCUAGAAGCCACCAUUCUACUCUCUGUUCAAUGAGUUUGACUAUUUUAGAUUCCUCAUAUAAAUGGUAUGUUGCAUUUGUCUGUGUUUAGCUUAUUUUACACUCUCUCAGCUUAUCCAUGUCAUCAGAAUUGGCAAGAUUUCCUUUUUUUUUAAGGCUGACUAAUAUUAUAUCGUAUGUGUACAACACAUUUUCUGUAUCCAUUCAUCUGUUGAUGGACAUUUAGGUUGCUUCCGUGUCUUGGCUACUGUAAAUAAUGCUGCAAUGGCUACAGGAGUGCAGAGCAUUUCUUUUAGAUUCUGAUCUCAAUCCUUUGGAUAUAUACCCAGAAAUGAAAUUGCUGCCUCAACUGGUGGUUCUAGUUUUAGUUUUCUGAGGAACCUCUGUACUGUUUUCCAUAGUGGCUGCACCAAUUUUUUCCACCAACAGUGCACAAGGGUUCCCUUUUCUCUGCAUCCUUGCAACAUUUGUGAUCUCUUGUCUUUUUGAUAAUAGCCAUUUAAAAGGUGUGAGGUGAUAUCUUAUUGCGGUUUUGAUUUGCAUUUCCGUGGUGAUUUGUGAUCCAACUUGCAUAAGUGCAACCAAUUCACAUUUUAAAAAAAUAAGAUGGGUUCUGGAUAUAACCCUAAUAUCGGGGCUUCUACAGCUUCUGAAAAAAGAGGAAACUUGUGCUAAAUAUGAAGCUGGGGGAUUUAGUGCGCUAGUUCUUCUUUGAGAGACUGUGCCUGAGACUAGCUUCAGUGGGGAGACCACACACGGGCACAUUGAGCUCAUGAAGGUGGGCCCUACACAUCCCUUCUGACAGCCUUGGGACAAUUUGUUACAAAGACUUUCUAAUAUUUUUGAAGCUGGAGGGAAUCUUAUAAGUACUUUUAUUACUUUUGCUUUCUUUCCCCCUAAAAAACUGUUAAAGAUUCCAGAUAUGGCAUGUCUUUUAUAAUUGAGGGCAUCUUCAAAUCAAAGGGACAGUAUAUGAAAUUCAUUUAUAGAAAUUUAGACUCAUAAAAUGUUGUAACUAGUGGGCAUUAAAGAUUAGAUGAUCCAGCAAAUUUUAAAGGCUUUUUGCAUUGUUUCUUAAAUCUGGACUUUUUUGAUAUAAGUCUGUAGAGAAGCUCUACAGAAACCAACAGAUCAAAGCACGGUGAGCUGGGGUGCCUGGGUGGUUCAGUGGGUUAA